ACAUGACUCUCGGCAACGGAUAUCUCGGCUCUCGCAUCGAUGAAGAACGUAGCGAAAUGCGAUACCUGGUGUGAAUUGCAGAAUCCCGCGAACCAUCGAGUCUUUGAACGCAAGUUGCGCCCGAGGCCAUUCGGCCGAGGGCACGCCUGCCUGGGCGUCACGC
rnacentral:rRNA from 6 species